rnacentral:rRNA from 1 species
UACGAAGGGGGCUAGCGUUGCUCGGAAUCACUGGGCGUAAAGCGCACGUAGGCGGUUCGUUAUGUCGGAUGUGAAAGCCCUUGGCUUAACCGAGGAAGUGCAUCCGAAACUGGCGAGCUAGAGUACUAAAGAGGAUCGCGGAAUUCCCGGUGUAGAGGUGAAAUUCGUAGAUAUCGGGAGGAACACCGGUGGCGAAGGCGGCGAUCUGGGUAGAUACUGACGCUGAGGUGCGAAAGCGUGGGGAGCAAACAGG